GCCCCAAGUACCUUACCAACUGCCUAGCAACACCCUAGCAACCACCCAGGUUACCAUAGCAACUGCCUAGCAACCACCCAUAACACCCUAGCAACCGCCUAGCAACACCUUAGCAACUGCCCCAAGUACCUUACCAACUGCCUAGCAACACCCUAGCAACCACCCAGGUUACCAUAGCAACCGCCUAGCAACCACCCAGAACACCUUAGCAACCGCCUAGCAACACCUUAGCAACCACCCCAAGUACCUUAGCAACUGCCUAGCAACAGCCUAGCAACCACCCAGGUUACCAUAGCAACCGCCUAGCAACCACCCAGAACACCCUAGCAACCGCCUAGCAACACCUUAGCAACC